AGCUGCAUAAAAACAGCAGGGGCGCUCAAAGGGCAUAACCCAGAAUUGAUACCUCCCCAGGGGCAGUUGAAGGCUGUCUUCCAUUCAUCACCAGGUUUAAUUCUAACCCAGUAAUAAGCCUCCCUCAGAUUCAGUUUUGUAAAAAUCCUCCCCUGGGCUAGAUGGGCUAACAUGUCCUUCAUUAAAGGAGGGGUACAUGUGUUCUAUACAGACCGCAUUAAUGCCCCUGAAGUCCACACAAAGCCAAAGGCCUCCGUCUUUUUUCUCUUGGAACAAUACAGGAGCUGCAAUCUGCGACCGGGCCAGUUGUAUGAAACCUCAUGCUAAAUUCUUGUCGAUAUACUUCCUCAACUCUUCCAGCUCCCGGGGUGUCAUGGGAUACAUACAUGGCUUUGGCAAUUUAGCUCCCGGCAGGAUGUCAAUCGCACAAUCGGUGGAACGGUGGAACCCUUAACCUACCAGCCGCAUGUUGGAAUUCUUGUACGUAUUCCCGUACUGGCCUCCCCUUCUGUCACAGUCCUAUGAUCUCCGUUUCAGCACGUUGAACCCGAGUGGGGUCUUCAAAGCGGGCUCUCAGUGCAUCAAGAAACAGUCCAACAUCACCCAACUUCCAGGCAUGAUCACUAAACAGAUCAGCAGCCCAGGCAGCUGCCUCCCCCUGUAGGCUUGCCGUUAUGGCCACAACAAUAGCCCAUUGGGAGGAAUACUGUGGUGCAAACCUAUCUAGGUGACUUAGGACAUGUCCCAUAAACAUCGCCAGUCUAUCUGGGUCUCCAUCAAAUGUCACCCCAAUAGAGGGAGAGACCCAAGCUACCCCUGCUGGCCACAUAGCGGCAGCCUGUCCAACCUGCUGACUGUGGCCUGGUGCGGUGAUAUGACGGCUCCCUGUACCUAAUGCCCCUGAGCCUAGAGGAUGGGAAAAUGAUGUAGAGUGGCUUGUGGCCAUGCCAGUUUGGUCCUCUGCCUUUGUUGGCCCUGGUCCAGCCGAAAUCGUGGACUGGCUAGACAGAACCCAGAACAGCCCCUUGGGUCCUGGGAACCUGGAGUACCUCCUGACCUGGGUAAAAACCCCGUUUCUCCAAAUCUGUCACGAAGGACGUCCAAGGUAUACUGCCCAGGUGCCGUAGAAUAACUCCACUCUUCGUCUUCAUCACCCGUGACACGUCUCUCCCUCCAUCCGGAUAGAGGGUCUCUUCCCCCAGUUACAUAAGGGCCGCCAGCCUCCGAGUGUUGUAAAGCUGAACUCAACCACCAUUCCCCCAAAGAUGUUACAAUUGGCUUCUUAGUCUCACCCCCGCUAUCCGCCGGCUGCUGGGCACGCUCCUUAGGUCUCACCACCGGUAAAGCCUCUGUCGCCCCCACCUCGGUGACCGUUCCCUUGUCUGCAGGUGAUUCCGGAAUCUCCCCCACGGGAUCAGCAUCCUGGACUCCCUCUGCCAUAACUGCUCCAAACAACCCCCUUACAGAUGGAGAAGAAAGGGAACUUUCAAGCAAACAAGAAGAAAUAUGUCGAAUGAUGACGUCAUAGGAAGUCUGCAACAGCUUCGGACCUCUGAGGACGGUCGACCAGGAUGGAAACAGAUUGCUGUGUCAAACUCUCUUUAUUACUGUAAAGGCUGGUCAAAGGCUAAUAAAGAGAUUUGAUUUGAAUCCGUUCAAUAUCACAAGUUGAAGAAAUAGCCUAACUAUGAAUGAGUCUACAACUGAGGGGGGAAUCAAAAAAUAAGGUGGGCAGGCUGCCACUCAAGAGGAAGAAAAUCAUUGAAGGAAGCACCCACUCCCUUCCCUCGAGGCACUGUGACUUUGAAGCAGAAUAAAACGGCAAACCUCACAAUGUACUUCUCUCUGUCUUUAUCUGAAAUGAUCAGCCUCACCCCUACUGACUCCUUUGAAGGAAAAGGUUUAUUCAGUCUGGAAGUCCAAUAAUUGGGGAAUUUAAGGUGCUGUCUACAGACAGGUACGAGAAUGAAAUACAGGUAAUUGUCCAUUUACAACAGUUCAUUUAGUGACCAUUCGAAGUUACAACAGCACUGAAAAAGUGACUUAUGACCAUUUUUCACAU